GCCAGGGAGCACUGGCACAUUGUUUGCACCUGUGCUCCCCACCUGACAAGAAGGGGAGGACCCAUGGUGGAGCCACCCUGGGCUGAUAUAAGGACCAGCCACUGAAAAGAAAUCUUCUCUUAGAUCUACCCUGCUAUGUGGGAGUGCUGUGUAGCCAGAGAGCAUCUUCACCAGUUGGCUUCCACUGGAUAUUCAUCUACUGAAACACCAUCUUGGAUCAGCCAUGUCCGAAGUUUACUGAUUUUCUCUGGUAGAUAUAUGGAUGUUGAUCAGGUCACACUGGACUCACUUGCAAAUCUGGAGGAAUAAACUUCAGGAAUUCACUUGAAGAACUCGCACUUGAAGAAAAUUUGCAAGUAUUAUCACGCUGGGAAUGGAGAAUUGGUUUUUGCCAGGAGAUGAGUAGGAUGUUAUAACAAGAGGAUGCCUGAAGUCUUUGAAUUCUAAAGGAGCUUAUGAACAUCUGUAAUGCUUGUAGUAAUGCACCAAUUAGGAGGAAAUGAAGUUAAAUUUUUGUUUUCUGAACUCUUCUGUGUGUCUUUCUAUCUAUCUUGUCUUUUAUGCAUAACAUUACCUGAUGCCAGAGCUUGCACAAGAACAAAUAAAGGAGAUCUGGAGGUAACAAACUGUGCAUGAUGGAAAAGAUUCAGCUGGAGUGUUCCAUGGCAUUUUGGGCAUAAUACUUCAGAGAUGAUGUGGGUCAAAUGGAGGUACUCUGCAGAGAUAAAAGAAUAACUGGAGAUUGUGACCAGCAAGAAAUUAAAAAAGAAACAAGAUCUCAGAACUCCAAAGGAGGGUGGGAGAAAUAUUCCUCAGGUGUACCAAUACAGGAAAGAAUAGCCUGUUCUGGAAGCAUUCCAAAGAGAUAGGACAAUAGAUCUAAAUGUGAACAAUAUAAACCAUAGGUCUAAACUGCAGUAAAGAAGAUUCAGGGCCAAAUCAAAGGAAAAAAAUAUUAAAGGGCAUUCUAGUACUCAAUUAUAGUUCCUAGGAAAGCUGUUACAUUUUCAUCAUUAAAGUUGCUAUUUGACAUUGCUUUAGGCAAGUAUCUCUCAGGUAUGGCUGGAUGUGAGUUAAAAGAAAGAACUAGGUUGAUUUUUGAGAACUUUUCUAACCACAUUUCUAUGAGGGCUGCUCUGAAAAUAAUGCCUCCUAUUUUAUUAUGUUCGCCCACACCCUCAGAGGUGGAUCUUGGUGGUAUGGCAGUAGAAGUUGAACCCUCCCACCAAUAUUCCCUUCCUUACAUGUUGUUACUGUGUGAAAGAUGGCAGGAGGAGGGCAAUCUGACAAAAUGGCAUCCAACGUGGAAUUGCAAAUGGAGCAAAGGUAUGUGACUGAACUCCUCCAAGCAGAAAAAGUGCACUCACUGACAUUCAUCGAUGCUUACUGAAUGUUUAUGGAGACCAAACAGUGUAUAUGAGCACAGUGAGGUGGUGAGUGGUGUGUUUUAGAAGUGGCAACAGUUGUGAAAGACAAGCCAUGUUCUGGAUGGCCACAUAGAUUUUUACAGCAUGGCAUGCUCUUGUUCAUUGCUGGUGAAAAUGUGACUGUGUUGAAAAGUGGUGUUUUGUAGCUGAGAAUUUGCUCUA